rnacentral:rRNA from 1 species
UACGUAGGGGGCAAGCGUUGUCCGGAUUUAUUGGGCGUAAAGAGCGUGUAGGCGGCCAGUUAGGUCCGUUGUGAAAACUCGAGGCUCAACCUCGAGACGCCGAUGGAAACCAAUUGGCUAGAGUCCGGAAGAGGAGAGUGGAAUUCCUGGUGUAGCGGUGAAAUGCGCAGAUAUCAGGAGGAACACCCGUGGCGAAAGCGGCUCUCUGGGACGGUACUGACGCUGAGACGCGAAAGCGUGGGGAGCAAACAGG